rnacentral:rRNA from 1 species
AACGCGAAGAACCUUACCAGGACUUGACAUGGAGGGGCCGCGUCCAGAGAUGGGCGUUUCCGCGAGGACCCCUCACACAGGUGCUGCAUGGCUGUCGUCAGCUCGUGUCGUGAGAUGUUGGGUUAAGUCCCGCAACGAGCGCAACCCCCGUCCUUAGUUGCUACCAUUUAGUUGAGCACUCUAAGGAGACUGCCGGUGAUAAGCCGCGAGGAAGGUGGGGAUGACGUCAAGUCCUCAUGGCCCUUACGGGCUGGGCUACACACGUGCUACAAUGGCGGUGACAAUGGGACGCUAAGGGGCAACCCUUCGCAAAUCUCAAAAAGCCGUCUCAGUUCGGAUUGGGCUCUGCAACUCGAGCCCAUGAAGUUGGAAUCGCUAGUAAUCGUGGAUCAGCAUGCCACGGUGAAUACGUUCCCGGGCCUUGUACACACCGCUAGUC